CCACCACCUGUUCAGCAUCUGCAGGUGAAAGAAACAGCAGAUCAUCCUCCAGCCAGGCUCUGCCGCUAGGAGAUCAGCCCUUCAGAGUGGAUCUCCUCACCUCUAACGUAAAAAUAUAGCAGAACUGGAGGAUCAGGCAGAGACAGCUGGACAGGAAUGUGUGAGUUAAUGGGCAGCAAUUCAAAGUUCAUUUCUAGCGAAGGACAGAAGGGAGCGAUUGGACUUUGCACAGAAGGUGGGUAGUUUGUUUGUUUUCACUUAGGAUUGGCGCUUCCUAAAUACUAAAAUCACUUUGCCAUGUGAGAAGACAUCUGGGAAUACAGAUCCAAAAGAAAAUCAAAACCAGUGCAUUCCAACCGAGAGCGUUAUGGAAACCAGCCUUUGGUGAACUUGACAACCACUGAGAAUUCGUCUCCUGAAGCUGGGGGGAGGCUGGAUCCCAAAUGACUCUGCCUGAAUAAACAACCUUCUCCACCAUCGAAGAUAUCAGGGAAAAAAAAAAGAUUUAUAUGACACAUUUAGGCUUGAUAUUGCAAAUCCCCUCUUCAAUGAACUAAAUUCCAAACCCUGUUAAUCAUUUGUGUAGGGUGUAUAUUUGGAUGUGACGUAGCUACAAUUAGGCAUAAUUAAAGCCACCCACUUAGAGCAUGCUGAAAGACCAGGAUUUAAAAAUAGGAGCUGAGUAAUUAGGAUCAUUAAUAGGAACUGAUUGUUUAGUUUGUGAUAGCUCAAAAUAAAUAGGUAUCAGCAGUUUUCUGUUUCCCAUGAAAACACACAGAGCAGAGCCCAGUUUCCUUAGAGGGAACCCUGAAAACCCCUCCGGGUGGCUCUUGCUCCUCAUUUCCCUUUUAUUUGAUGGUGGCUGGUUCAGAACAUUGGUGUUAGGCUGCUGAGAGUCCAUGCGGCUGUUUGUGGGUGUUGGAGGAAAAUGCUCCACCCUGGCAGAGCAAGCCCUUGGGUUCAGCCUCCAGUCCCCCUGCCUGAACAUAGUAGGCGGUGGCCCUCCUGGGGCAGAGGCCUCCUGCAGCUAAUUCUUCGUCAUCUCUAGUCCUGUGGUUACUGCAUGGAUUUUUCUGAGGCCACAGUGAAUCUAUUGAUGCAAUUCCUGGCUCACCCACAGCCUAUUACUACCUGCCCUUAAAUAAACAGCUUAUAUACACAUGCUGCCACUGUUUGGGAUGCUUCACAUGCUUCUGCCUUCCUGGUGGGCUUCAGGGCACCCAGUGGCACAUGCACUGAGACAGUGGCAACUUUCACAACAAGGAGAUGGCUGGCCUUGGCCCACAAAGCCACCUCAGGAGUGAGAAAUCCAGAUCUGGUGCCAGGUGGCGAUGGGGGUGGGCUGGGGACAGGGUGGGAAAGUCAGAGGCUGGAUUCUGGAAUGCAUUGCCUAGUUAGAAGCCAGUGGAAAAAGGAGAUUUUUUCCUGGCCAUGAUUUUUUUUUUUUCUUAGUCUUGAGAUGGAUUUUAUUCACAGGAAUCUAGAGUGUGUAUGUGUCUUCUUAGGCAACUAACCACAUGAGAGGCUAAGCUCCUAUCCCUUCAUUUUAUUUUAUUUCAUUUUUGCAGUGCUGGGGAUCAAAUCCAGGGCCUCACAUGCUAGGCAAGUGCUCUACCACAGAGCUACACCCCCGCCCUUCCUGCCCUUCAUGGUGGGAAUCAUUGUUGUCCAGUGAUGAGCAGGUUUGCUCUGAAGUAUGAGAUGGUGCCUGACUUAGCCGCAUGGGUUGAAGCCCUCCUCCCGUGGUCUAACAGGCCAUCCCUGGCCUCUCUGGAAGGUCUGUGAUGUCCAGGGAGCUACAGUUCAACCUAAUGACAUAGUGUAACAUGUGGAAUUAAUUUUCCUGCAACUUUUUCAGGGGAGAGUGAAAUGGUUCAGGUUAGGUUGAGAUUCACAAGAAAAGGAUGCGAUCUGUAAGUGAAUCAAACAGGGCUUGUGCCUGGUAUGGCCAGAAGGAGAUCCCCCUGAGAGUGAUGUGGCGCGGGUUCUCAGCCUCGCUGUCCUGACACAUGAGUGUUACUGACUUUCUUCCUCAUGGGAACUGCCCUGUGCAGGAUGUUUGGCAGCGUCCCAGCCUUCACCCACUCAGGCCAGUGGCGUCCCCUCCCGCCCUCACCCUCAGUGUGACAAUCAAAGAUGUUUCUGGACAUUUUCAAAUGUCCCCUAGGGUUGGGGGCUCCUUCCCCCCCCCGUGAAGAACCUCUACCAUAACAUGGUCCACCAGAGUGGGGAAAUGAGCUUCACCCUUCUCAAAAUUUGUUCUUGGGGUGUGCAGGGAAUCACUGGAUUUCAAGAUUAUUUAUACUCUGAGAGAAGUCUUUGUUAAACACGGGUUUUUCAUGUUUUGGGUUUUCUUUCUGGUUUAUUUCCCCAAAUAUUAAGAUUUAGGAAUUCAAUUACAGAUGAGCUUUUCUCUCAUACUAUGUAAGGUAUCCAACUUCAACUGACUCAAGAUAAAAAUACAAAAUUCUACCA
rnacentral:lncRNA from 1 species